rnacentral:rRNA from 1 species
AUAUUAAUAAGCGGAGGAAAAGAAACUAACAAGGAUUCCCCUAGUAACGGCGAGUGAAGCGGGAAUAGCUCAAAUUUGAAAUCUCACUGGGCAACUAGUGCGAAUUGUAGUUUCGAGGAGCGUUUUCUGGGGGCAAGAGCGAGCAAAAGUUCUCUGGAACGAGACGUCAUAGAGGGUGACAACCCCGUUUUUGGUUCAUUCUUGUUUUCAAUAUGAUACGUUUCCAAAGAGUCGGGUUGUUUGGGAUUGCAGCCCAAAAUGGGUGGUAAAUACCAUCUAAAGCUAAAUAAUGGCGAGAGACCGAUAACGCACAAGUA